AGAUAAAGGAAAGGAAAAGAUUUAGCAAGGAAGGCAUCAAGGUGGUGGUGAUGAAGGUAGCAGUAGAUGAUUCAUGAAUGCUUGGAGAGAUGCCAGCUGCCAGGCCUGGGUCCCGCGUCAUAUUCGAAAAUUGAUUUUGGUUCUGUUUCUCGUUACUUGCAUUUCGUAUUCGUUGGAUUUGGUGUUGUGAGAACUAUGUUGAUACUUGUUGUGUGAACUUGGUAUUUGUGAUGUUUUGAUAACUUUGCAAUUUGUGGAUUUUCUCUUCGUUC